rnacentral:ncRNA from 1 species
UCUCCCAUCGGUAAUGGAUUCUGCCUGGCAUCAAGCCGAACCGCUUCCUUGAAGAAGCUGAUGACUCCUACUCAACG